GCGUAAAGCGCACGCAGGCGGUCUGUCAAGUCGGAUGUGAAAUCCCCGGGCUCAACCUGGGAACUGCAUUCGAAACUGGCAGGCUGGAGUCUUGUAGAGGGGGGUAGAAUUCCAGGUGUAGCGGUGAAAUGCGUAGAGAUCUGGAGGAAUACCGGUGGCGAAGGCGGCCCCCUGGACAAAGACUGACGCUCAGGUGCGAAAGCGUGGGGAGCAAACAGGAUUAGAUACCCUGGUAGUCCACGCUGUAAACGAUGUCGACUUGGAGGUUGUUCCCUUGAGGAGUGGCUUCCGGAGCUAACGCGUUAAGUCGACCGCCUGGGGAGUACGGCCGCAAGGUUAAAACUCAAAUGAAUUGACGGGGGCCCGCACAAGCGGUGGAGCAUGUGGUUUAAUUCGAUGCAACGCGAAGAAC
rnacentral:rRNA from 1 species